rnacentral:rRNA from 1 species
ACGAACGCUGGCGGCGUGCUUAACACAUGCAAGUCGAACGGAAAGGCCCUGCUUUUGUGGGGUGCUCGAGUGGCGAACGGGUGAGUAACACGUGAGUAACCUGCCCUUGACUUUGGGAUAACUUCAGGAAACUGGGGCUAAUACCGGAUAGGAGCUCCUGCUGCAUGGUGGGGGUUGGAAAGUUUCGGCGGUUGGGGAUGGACUCGCGGCUUAUCAGCUUGUUGGUGGGGUAGUGGCUUACCAAGGCUUUGACGGGUAGCCGGCCUGAGAGGGUGACCGGCCACAUUGGGACUGAGAUACGGCCCGGACUCCUACGGGAGGCAGCAGUGGGGAAUAUUGCACAAUGGGCGGAAGCCUGAUGCAGCAACGCCGCGUGCGGGAUGACGGCCUUCGGGUUGUAAACCGCUUUCGCCUGUGACGAAGCGUGAGUGACGGUAAUGGGUAAAGAAGCACCGGCUAACUACGUG